ACAGAAAAAGUAUGAGUGAUGGAAAAAAUCUAUUUGCAGAUUCGAACUCAGCAUGCAUAUGUACAAAAAAGUGUUGGAAAAUAUGCAAAUAGCUAUUCAAUAAACAUUUCUGUGACAAAAUCUUUAUAAACCAACAUGACUAAAUAAUAGCUCUUCGACUAAGAGCUUCAACUUUAAAGAAAGCUUCGCGUACCUGCCUCGGAACCGAUGCUUCAAAUAAUCAAACAACGCCUUUUGCAUCAUGUCCGUCACCUGAUAACCUUUCAACGAUGGACCGACCAGGACGACAGGCCUCAUAGAUGGUACAACGUCGUACGGCGUGCGCGUUUCCGGCGACACGAUUUGUACGGUCAAGCAUUUCUGCGACAAAUUACGGGCUAUCUGUGCGAAGGACAUUUCUUCUCUCCUCCUUUUUCCUUCCCCUGUCUUUGAGGUUGCAUUUUAAUUGCUUCGUCCUUCUCUCUUUCUCUAUUCCUUUAACAAUCUCGACAACGAUUAUUGACGUUUCGGGCUGUCGUUGUCGCGCAGAGAUACGAGCUCAUUAUUCGAACCAGAGACUUUAUCUUAUCUACCUUGUAAAGCUACUAAACGAUAUUACGUGGAAAUAGUGGCCCUGUUUCUCUCUUAUAUCGCGUACAAAAAUGAUAUAAAAGCAACGAGCGACAAGCCCGGCCUAAUAGUCCGGCUGCGAGCGAGGCUGUUUUACAAUUACGACACAGAGAAUUGAAGCCAUUAAUAUCUCUAACCGCGCGAUUUGAUCCUUCGUGGCUGACGUUCACGAGCCUUUAAAGAAUCUGCGAGGAUUAUGAUUUACGAUUUCGAUGUUCCUCUAUUUCACCGGGUGUAAAUUACUAGACUGUUUUUUACUCCUCAACCUCUGCUCUUAUGUUGCGUUCACACUCAUACUCACGAAUACGCUACGAAUAAAUUGAUUUUGAUUUAGUUUUUGUUAGUUUAUUCAGAUUGCUGUCUCGUUAUUGCGGCAUUCCCUUCGGUUAUGGUAUAAUUUUAUUGCAGGAUGUUUCUAACACGUCUACUGAAAAAAAGAAAAGA
rnacentral:misc_RNA from 1 species